UCGCGUCCAAAAUAUAUUAAUCAUCCCUUGCUUAGUAAACCAACAAAAAUUGGUUCCUCUAUUUUCAAGAACUGAUCACAGUCAAAUUUCUGAUAAAUACAUUAUUCAAACUUUUGCAUGAACUAGACAAAUUCAUGGUGCACAUGUAUCUUGAGCCUAUCUUACACACAUCAAUUUAUUAGCACAUUUCUUCCAUUACCUAUGCGACCCUUUAAUUAGAGCAACAACAAGAACCACCUUUGAUUGGUUUACAAUGGCUCUUUUUGAAUUCAAAAAAUGAGCAGUGGUUCUUGCAUGCCUCUUCGGAUUCAUGGCCUUUCGCACAGCUUACAAGAGGCACACAUAAAUCCGGGAUGGGGAUUGGUUUUGUGGAACCUGUGCAUGAUAAAGUGUAGCGGUGUUAGCAUAUAUAAAGUACUUAAGUUACAUGGGCUAGUUUGAAUUACAUAUGCAAAGGUGUGUGCAUGCUAAAAAUGAAUAUGAAAAUUAUAAAGAGAGAUGAUUGUAGUACCUGCAUGGCAUGACAAUAGGGUGGUAAACAUCAUCAAAAGGGCUACCAAGAGUAGGGCUCUUGUUUUGCUAUUGAUAAGUUCCAUGAGGAAUGGUUUCUUGUUUCCUUCCUUCUAUGUAUGUGUGGGUAUACUUGCAG
rnacentral:lncRNA from 1 species